CGUAAGAGAAGUUCGACUAAGACCGCCACGUCCUGCGGCAACGUCGAACUACCCUACAUCCUGUAGG
rnacentral:sRNA from 1 species